rnacentral:rRNA from 1 species
UACGUAGGGGGCAAGCGUUGUCCGGAUUCAUUGGGCGUAAAGAGCGUGUAGGCGGCCAGGUAGGUCGGUUGUGAAAACUGGAGGCUCAACCUUCAGAGGUCGACCGAAACCAUCUGGCUAGAGUCCGGGAGAGGAGAGUGGAAUUCCUGGUGUAGCGGUGAAAUGCGCAGAUAUCAGGAAGAACACCCGUGGCGAAAGCGGCUCUCUGGGCAUUACCUGACGCUGAGGAGCGAAAGUGUGGGGAGCGAACAGG